GGGACUGCUUGCCAGGAGUGCCGGGACAGAGAGGGCAUUGUUCAGAGAAGAUUCAGGAAGCCAAACAUCCGGAGACCAGCGAGCAUGGUCCACUCACCCCAUGAGCUGGAAGAGAACAUAUUUUUUCCCCACUGAUCAGUCUGUAUAUUUACUUCUGAAGGGCACUCGGAGCACUUCUGGAAUAUUUAUUCCCUUCGGUCUCAGUGGCAGCAAUACUGAUGGGCCAGGAAGGUGAGGACCCAGACACCGCUCCUGCAGCUUCAGGGAGAUGGAGGGGGUUUCCAGCUCUGUGGGUCUCACCAGUUCCACUGACCUUGAGCUGUCACCUCAGUCACCAGUACCACCCAGCUCUUCUCUGGUGGCAAUCUGUCUGCAUCUUCUCCAUCUCUUUACCUGUUCUCUCUGGGACUCUGCUGGUUUUCCUCACUCUGAACAGGUUGCCCCUUGCUCUCUGUGUGCUCUAUCUAUGGGGUCGGAGUUAUCUCUGAAAAGAACGGUGAUAUCAGAGUGGCGGGCUGGGCGUGGUGUGUCUGCUGGCACAAGGUGCCCGGGGCAUUUGGGGCCUGCUCAGCACAGACCCCCACUUCGCUUGCUUCCCCUAUCUGCCCGGGUUGCCCUCUGCUUCUCCUUCUGGCACACGAGAGGUGGGGAGAGAGCUCUUACUUGCAUCCUGAGAGGCCUUGCCCUGAACCACACUCGGACGCCAGCCUGGGCCCUGUAGGUGAUGAGUCUUCUUGUCCCUCCUGUCACCGCGAUGUGGGUUCCAAAGGCACCGUCACUUCUCACCCUUAUUCCUGAGGCCCAGCCCUUGAGGGUCACGUAGCAACUGAUUGGUCAGCACUGAGCAGAGAGGCAGAUGGAUGGUAAAUGACAGGCAGCCUUGGUCCCACUGUACGGAAGCCCACAACGUGUCCGCUCAGCCUGGUGCUGCCUCUAGAGUUGCAUCUCCUGAAGCGCCGAAGAAGGCCUCUGGCCUGGACAGAGCACAGAGCAAGCGGGCGAGCCUAGUCACCUCCUGCACAAGAUGAAGACAGAGACAAGUGAAGGACUCACCUGAGGUCAGCUGGGACGAAGCAGCAGCCUUGGGCUAUGGCACCACCUCCGUCCUGCUUUGAGUCAGCCUGUGCUUUGCUCCUAAGAUACCCAGGAAUUCAGGCUGGCCUCUCUCCCGAGUCAGAAUCAUAUGACAGAACAAUUGGUUGCUGUGGAAACGACUGUACACCCCAGACAUCAGGCUGUGCCUGAGAGAAAGGAGGUGCUACGUUCAUGGGGCUGGGGCCGCGGUGUGGCUGCGGGGAUCCUGAGCCUUGCACCAGUGACCCACUUCGCUCAGCCUGUUUGGCGCAUGUGCCCGGCUUCCCUCGCCCAGCUGUGUGUGUGUGUGUGUGUGUGACUUCACUUACCAACACCACUGCUAACCACCUCACCCAUUUGGAAAGCCUCCCCUGGCUCCUCUGUCCAAGUCUAAAUUAAAGGCUACCUCUUCAGUUUCAAUGGUUAACCACGCCUGGCCAACCCCUUCUCCAGCCAAAACCCUCCUAUUCCUCGUGAGUCCGUACUUCAUCUGAGUCAAAUCACUUGCUCACUUGCUUUGCUCCUCCUUGUUCUUAUUUUUUUUUCUGUUAUAGGCGGUACCCAGCCCUAGGAUCACAGCGAGGCCCAUAAACGCAGCUGGCUGAUGCUCAGGGCAGUGGGUGGAUCAGCCCCGGCCUGACCAGUGAGGUCCACCCUGUCCUCCUUCAAGAGAAAUAAUAAGCCCAGGGCAAUGGUCAAACUGCACAGCUCUGGAUCUAAUUUUGGACGUUGGUAACCCAAUGGAAGAAAUAAAACACUAAAGCUUCAGUUGCCUAAAAUGCCUUGAUAUAAGGGAAGGACUAGAAAACAGUACUUUGUUAUUUUAAAGUGUUUAUUUCUUAACCCCUAUUGAUGUUUCAAGUCCAUCUUUAGUCUCAAUUGCCUGUCACCCAGAAAUGUGUUCACUGCCAGGGCGGGAGAGCCCCCCUGGGGUUCGUGGCAGGCAGGGCCCCUUCUGCAUUCCCAUAGGAAGCUGUGUGUAACCACCUUACCAAUGGCAGGACUCACACUGAGGAGAAACUAAGCUCUUCCAGAGAGAGUUUUAGGGUAAGGCCAAGUUUCUGAACAUGGGCUGUGGCUACUAGGUCAGCCAUUUGUCAAGUGGGCUGUGUCCCUACAGCCAGUACAAGAUUGGUGAGGAGCCCUAGCCCCUUUUACUGGCAUCUGUUGUCCACCCAGGCCUCCGAGGCGGGAGUUAAUUGAUAGAGGUGCUCCUUGGGUGAGGAAGGGCUGAAGUCAGCCUGCCUUGGGGCUGGGGCAACACCAAGCGAGGCACCACCUGGAGCCAGUGUGGACAUGUGGGCUGGGUGUGCAGGGCAGAAAGUGGCAAGGGUGAGAAUUGACCCCAGCUCUCUGUGGGGCUCUGUCCAUCGUCCAUGAAGAUGGCACUGCUGUUGGCCAGGGUGACAAGCCGUGGGUGCUCCUGGCAUGGGACAGGCUGUGGAGAAGCUGUGGGCUUGUGUGUGUGUGUGUGUGUGUGUGUGUGUGUGUGUGUGUGUGCACAUGUGCAUGCACCUGCCUGGAAGGGAGACACCUGGAGAUAGAGGCAGGCUUCUUUCCCCCUCCUCAGGGUACUCCAGUGAGGGGGUCCUGAAGCCUGAGGUGACACUGAGCAGGUGUCCUCACAAGGAAAAGCACCAAGCAUGCACCACACUGGCCAGUGGAGGCCCAGGUGGGCUGCAGCCCCAGACGGGUCACCGUGUAGGAGCACACUUUGCACUUUCCCCCUCUGACUAGCACUCAGCCCUCAGGCCCUGGCUCCAUGAAGCAGGGUUUGAAUAGCAAAGUCUAAGGUUCUCUUUUGCUUUCUAGCCUCUCUGUAAAAGAGAAGUCUGCUGGCGUGUGUCCCGUGGAAACCGAGACCCUCGCUGCUUGUAUAAUUUAAUACAUACAUAUACACUUGAUAUGUAUUUUAGCAGUUCCCAAGGUGUCAAAGGCCUUCCCUCCAAAACUGUCCAUAGGAAAGGACAGAAUUCGAAUGCAGGCUUCGGUGCGACCACGAGAUGCUAUGAGAUGUGAGUUGGCUGUUCUGGAGACCAAAACCCAGGUUGGUAUCAGAGCUGAUGGCCCCCACAGACACAGUGAGAACUCAGGACACUGUCCCCUCGGUUCCUGGCCAGAUGCUUCGCCUUGUCUGAACACUACCACGUGAGCUCUUCCCGGAGGAGUGGGGAGAAAGCUCAACUAGCAGUGCACACAGCCAGCCCGAGGCUGAGGAGCUCUGACAGCCCGUUGCUGUCUUCCUCAGCUAGCGAUGCCCCAUUACAGGAGAAGCGCUGUGAGAACCCAAAGCCCACGGCGCCGGCGGCAGAACGUCUUCCUCGGGCUCCUCCCGACCCAUGUCCUGGUGCCAUCCAGGGGCCUCCUUCACAGCACUCCGAGGAAGACCAGGCGGCUUCCCGGGGACGGAGGGAGAGCAGCAAGAAGGAAAGUUCUGCAACUUCUAAAUCAGAUAUGGAAACUCUGUGUCAGGAGCAGUAAGCAACUUGCCCAGGAUCAAACAGCAUCGGCUCCUCACUGCUUUGGCCGGGCAGGCAGGCCUGGAUUUAACACCCAAGAGAGGGGAAACUCAAGUUGUUUCAACAGAAGAUGCCUUUCUGAGUCACAAGGGUGGAGCUGACCUUGUCCUCUGUGAAGCUUUGCCCUGACCUUGUCCCUUGCCUGGAAAUCUCCCCCGCCCUGCCUCAGCCAGUGAUGGAUUCGUCGGCCUUCGCACCUCGGUUCAGCUACAGCUUCGUGGAAACGCAUCCCUGACACACACCUCGCUCAAACCCUGGCCCUUUGGCCUCCAGAUGGGCUCACACAGAGCGCACACUGAGCUCCAGGCCUUCAGCACUCUCCAGCGCAGACAGACCUUCUGCAUUCUUCUAUACCUGACCAGCACAGCCUCAGAGGAGAACAGAACAUGCAGGCACCUUACGUGGAAUGUGAAAAGCCGAGGAGAACACAGGAAGGUCUAGAAAGAGUUGGGAUAGACAGUGAUGGCUGAGGGUCUAGUAGAAGGCUGGUGGCCCAGUAGCUGGGGAAGAGCAGCAGCCGGGGCACAGGAAUCACAAAGGGCAGGAACCACCAGCCGGACCAGAGAGUGGCUGGCCCAGGGGAGAGGUGAGGGUCCAACCUUGGCAGAAAAGAACCCGGCUUAGAACACUGCAAAAAUUCAAUGCACAAUGUUAAUUCUCAAGAUUGUGACCUUUCCAUUCUGCUCCAUUUUUAAAUAAAAGGCUUUAU